rnacentral:rRNA from 1 species
GCACAAGCGGUCGAGCAUGUGGUUUAAUUCGAAGCAACGCGAAGAACCUUACCAGGUCUUGACAUCCUUCUGACCGGCCUAGAGAUAGGCUUUCUCUUCGGAGCAGAAGUGACAGGUGGUGCAUGGUUGUCGUCAGCUCGUGUCGUGAGAUGUUGGGUUAAGUCCCGCAACGAGCGCAACCCCUAUUGUUAGUUGCCAUCAUUAAGUUGGGCACUCUAGCGAGACUGCCGGUAAUAAACCGGAGGAAGGUGGGGAUGACGUCAAAUCAUCAUGCCCCUUAUGACCUGGGCUACACACGUGCUACAAUGGUUGGUACAACGAGUCGCAAGCCGGUGACGGCAAGCUAAUCUCUUAAAGCC